rnacentral:rRNA from 1 species
AUUGAACGCUGGCGGCAUGCUUUACACAUGCAAGUCGAACGGCAGCGCGGGCUUCGGCCUGGCGGCGAGUGGCGAACGGGUGAGUAAUGCAUCGGAACGUGCCCAGUAGUGGGGGUAGCCCGGCGAAAACCGGGUUAAAUCCCCCAACGACCCUGGGGUGAAAGCGGGGGGCCGGAAGGCCUCGCCCCAUUUGAGCCGCCGAUGUCGGAUUAGCUAGUUGGUGGGGUAAAGGCUUACCAAGGCGACGAUCCGUAGCUGGUCUGAGAGGACGACCAGCCACACUGGGACUGAGACACGGCCCAGACUCCUACGGGAGGCAGCAGUGGGGAAUUUUGGACAAUGGGGGCAACCCUGAUCCAGCCAUGCCGCGUGCGGGAAGAAGGCCUUCGGGUUGUAAACCGCUUUUGUUCGGGAAGAAAUCCUCUGGGCUAAUACCCCGGGGGGAUGACGGUACCGGAAGAAUAAGCACCGGCUAACUACGUG